UAAGCCACCUGAUUUCAGUUUGAUUUUGGUAUUGAAAUGGGCGAAGUUAGAGUGCAUGCCAGUUUAAUCGUAGAGGACGUAGCUAGCUUUCUUUCAGCAGCUAAGAAGCUUGUCGAAGAAACCCAGAAAGAAGUAGGAUGUUUGCACUACCAACUGUACAAAGAGACAGGCAAGGAACACUGUUUCGCAAUGAUAGAAACAUGGGAAUCUGUAGAAAAAGAAGCAGCGCACAUGGAAACUGAACAUGUGAAACGAUUUCUUGAAUCGCAAAGAACCAAUGUCACUAUUCACAUCAAGAGAUUCAAUCAAAGAAGAGACCAGGCACCCCUUUACACUCGGCCAUCAUCAGCACUUUCAGCAAAUCAAAGGGACCCAUCACGUUUUAUGGCCAGCCGCAUUGAGGCAAAAGCAAAACCAUUUAGUUGAAUUAACUCACGAGCGAAGAACAUCACAAACUUCUUUCCAAAUGGUUUCUAUCCACGAAGAAACUGCUAACUGCACAAUGUUACCCGGUUAUAUAAAAAGCUGCAUGACAAAAAAUGUU